GGCUUCUUGUCUAUAUAUAUAAGAAGUCUAACCUGCCCAGUGAUUUAUUUUUAACGGCCGCGGUAUUUUGACCGUGCAAAGGUAGCAUAAUCAUUAGUCUUUUAAAAGGAGGCUGGAAUGAAUGGUUUGACGAGGUGUUUACUGUCUCAUUUAAUUGAGUUGAAUUUAAUUUUUUAGUAAAAACGCUAAAAUUUUUUUGGAAGACGAGAAGACCCUAUAGAGCUUUAUAAAAUAUUAUUUUACUAUUAUUUAGUUUAAAUUAUCUUGUAAAAUUUGAUUUAUUAUGUUGGGGUGACAAAAUUAUACGAUUAACUUUUUUAUUUAUUUUACAUAGAUAGUUGAGUUUUUUGAUCCGAUUUUAUCGAUUACUAGACUAAGUUACCUUAGGGAUAACAGCGUAAUCUUCUUUCAGAGUUCAUAUUUACAAGAAGGCUUGCGACCUCGAUGUUGGAUUAAGAUAAUAGCUAGGUGCAGUAGCUUAGUUUAUAGGUCUGUUCGACCUUUAAUUUCUUACAUGAUCUGAGUUCAAACCGG
rnacentral:rRNA from 1 species